ACGAAAAUGAACAUAACAAGAUCGAGUAUUGAACGAGAAGUACGCCGCAUAAUUAAGUUUCAUUGGUAAAGUGAAAGGCUAUUAUUUGGUAAUAAACUGGGCGUCGUAAUGAUACGAGAACAUAACAGUUUCGCGUUUCUUUUAACGCGUAUCCCUGGCAAACGACCAUCGAUAAUGGCGCAAACAAACUCGCUCUGAUCCUCUGAUCAAGCGAUUAAUUACAAAAGUCGAAGGGGCACGUCGUCGUUGAUCCCAAGAUGAAUGCCAAUCUUUUGUGUCUUUUCCAUUGUUCGCGCGUAUAAACAUCCCUAACAGUCUUCAGUGGAGAAUCUUUUCAUGCGCUUCCCCGUACGAAUCUUCUCCCCCCCAUCGUGCAUAUCGUCUUCCUUCUACGCAAACGAUCCGAUGAAAUCGCAACGGUCGUUUCUCGAUGAUGGAGAAUAGGACUAGGUCAACGGAAACGAGCUAGUGGAGAGUCCAGGUAUGGAUGGGCAGGUGUCGAUGCGAUUCGAGGACGAAAUAAACACGAUUUCAGCUUUGAUGAAAGGACUUGGCUUUUGGGGAGGCGAAAGUGGCGAAUGUCGUGAAGAAUUUACGGAUUAAGAGAGAAUAGAGAUUGUUUGGAUUAGAAAUAUCGAGGGAUGAAGGGAAUGAUGAAUAAGUUUUUACAAUUUUGAAACUGAAAGAUUAAGAGAGAGAAAAAAAUGGCACUUUUUCAAGUAUAGAAGAAACGUAGUCUUUGAAAAACGUCCCCAAAGUUUAUCCCUGAACGCAAAUCGAUUCGAAACAACGCUCCUUUUGCCACAAGUUAGGUCUGUUGGAGAUUAGAAGAGAGAAAAAAUGGCACUUUUCCAAGAAUAGAAGAAACGUAGUCUUUGAAAAACAUUCUCAAAGUUUAUCCCUGAACGCAAAUUGAUUUGAAACAAUGCUCCUUUUGUCCCAAAUCAGGAUUGUUAGAAGAGAAAAAAAAAUGGCACUUUUCCAAG